GGGUUGUGAGGUUAAGCGACUAAGCGUACACGGUGGAUGCCCUGGCAGUCAGAGGCGAUGAAGGACGUGCUAAUCUGCGAUAAGCGUCGGUAAGGUGAUAUGAACCGUUAUAACCGGCGAUUUCCGAAUGGGGAAACCCAGUGUGUUUCGACACACUAUCAUUAACUGAAUCCAUAGGUUAAUGAGGCGAACCGGGGGAACUGAAACAUCUAAGUACCCCGAGGAAAAGAAAUCAACCGAGAUUCCCCCAGUAGCGGCGAGCGAACGGGGAGCAGCCCAGAGCCUGAAUCAGUGUGUGUGUUAGUGGAAGCGUCUGGAAAGGCGCGCGAUACAGGGUGACAGCCCCGUACACAAAAAUGCACAUGCUGUGAGCUCGAUGAGUAGGGCGGGACACGUGGUAUCCUGUCUGAAUAUGGGGGGACCAUCCUCCAAGGCUAAAUACUCCUGACUGACCGAUAGUGAACCAGUACCGUGAGGGAAAGGCGAAAAGAACCCCGGCGAGGGGAGUGAAAAAGAACCUGAAACCGUGUACGUACAAGCAGUGGGAGCACAGAGCAAUCUGUGUGACUGCGUACCUUUUGUAUAAUGGGUCAGCGACUUAUAUUCUGUAGCAAGGUUAACCGAAUAGGGGAGCCGAAGGGAAACCGAGUCUUAACUGGGCGUUAAGUUGCAGGGUAUAGACCCGAAACCCGGUGAUCUAGCCAUGGGCAGGUUGAAGGUUGGGUAACACUAACUGGAGGACCGAACCGACUAAUGUUGAAAAAUUAGCGGAUGACUUGUGGCUGGGGGUGAAAGGCCAAUCAAACCGGGAGAUAGCUGGUUCUCCCCGAAAGCUAUUUAGGUAGCGCCUCGUGAAUUCAUCUCCGGGGGUAGAGCACUGUUUCGGCAAGGGGGUCAUCCCGACUUACCAACCCGAUGCAAACUGCGAAUACCGGAGAAUGUUAUCACGGGAGACACACGGCGGGUGCUAACGUCCGUCGUGAAGAGGGAAACAACCCAGACCGCCAGCUAAGGUCCCAAAGUCAUGGUUAAGUGGGAAACGAUGUGGGAAGGCCCAGACAGCCAGGAUGUUGGCUUAGAAGCAGCCAUCAUUUAAAGAAAGCGUAAUAGCUCACUGGUCGAGUCGGCCUGCGCGGAAGAUGUAACGGGGCUAAACCAUGCACCGAAGCUGCGGCAGCGACGCUUAUGCGUUGUUGGGUAGGGGAGCGUUCUGUAAGCCUGCGAAGGUGUGCUGUGAGGCAUGCUGGAGGUAUCAGAAGUGCGAAUGCUGACAUAAGUAACGAUAAAGCGGGUGAAAAGCCCGCUCGCCGGAAGACCAAGGGUUCCUGUCCAACGUUAAUCGGGGCAGGGUGAGUCGACCCCUAAGGCGAGGCCGAAAGGCGUAGUCGAUGGGAAACAGGUUAAUAUUCCUGUACUUGGUGUUACUGCGAAGGGGGGACGGAGAAGGCUAUGUUGGCCGGGCGACGGUUGUCCCGGUUUAAGCGUGUAGGCUGGUUUUCCAGGCAAAUCCGGAAAAUCAAGGCUGAGGCGUGAUGACGAGGCACUACGGUGCUGAAGCAACAAAUGCCCUGCUUCCAGGAAAAGCCUCUAAGCAUCAGGUAACAUCAAAUCGUACCCCAAACCGACACAGGUGGUCAGGUAGAGAAUACCAAGGCGCUUGAGAGAACUCGGGUGAAGGAACUAGGCAAAAUGGUGCCGUAACUUCGGGAGAAGGCACGCUGAUAUGUAGGUGAAGUCCCUCGCGGAUGGAGCUGAAAUCAGUCGAAGAUACCAGCUGGCUGCAACUGUUUAUUAAAAACACAGCACUGUGCAAACACGAAAGUGGACGUAUACGGUGUGACGCCUGCCCGGUGCCGGAAGGUUAAUUGAUGGGGUUAGCGCAAGCGAAGCUCUUGAUCGAAGCCCCGGUAAACGGCGGCCGUAACUAUAACGGUCCUAAGGUAGCGAAAUUCCUUGUCGGGUAAGUUCCGACCUGCACGAAUGGCGUAAUGAUGGCCAGGCUGUCUCCACCCGAGACUCAGUGAAAUUGAACUCGCUGUGAAGAUGCAGUGUACCCGCGGCAAGACGGAAAGACCCCGUGAACCUUUACUAUAGCUUGACACUGAACAUUGAGCCUUGAUGUGUAGGAUAGGUGGGAGGCUUUGAAGUGUGGACGCCAGUCUGCAUGGAGCCGACCUUGAAAUACCACCCUUUAAUGUUUGAUGUUCUAACGUGGACCCGUAAUCCGGGUUGCGGACAGUGUCUGGUGGGUAGUUUGACUGGGGCGGUCUCCUCCUAAAGAGUAACGGAGGAGCACGAAGGUUGGCUAAUCCUGGUCGGACAUCAGGAGGUUAGUGCAAUGGCAUAAGCCAGCUUGACUGCGAGCGUGACGGCGCGAGCAGGUGCGAAAGCAGGUCAUAGUGAUCCGGUGGUUCUGAAUGGAAGGGCCAUCGCUCAACGGAUAAAAGGUACUCCGGGGAUAACAGGCUGAUACCGCCCAAGAGUUCAUAUCGACGGCGGUGUUUGGCACCUCGAUGUCGGCUCAUCACAUCCUGGGGCUGAAGUAGGUCCCAAGGGUAUGGCUGUUCGCCAUUUAAAGUGGUACGCGAGCUGGGUUUAGAACGUCGUGAGACAGUUCGGUCCCUAUCUGCCGUGGGCGCUGGAGAAUUGAGGGGGGCUGCUCCUAGUACGAGAGGACCGGAGUGGACGCAUCACUGGUGUUCGGGUUGUCAUGCCAAUGGCACUGCCCGGUAGCUAAAUGCGGAAGAGAUAAGUGCUGAAAGCAUCUAAGCACGAAACUUGCCCCGAGAUGAGUUCUCCCUGACUCCUUGAGAGUCCUGAAGGAACGUUGAAGACGACGACGUUGAUAGGCCGGGUGUGUAAGCGCAGCGAUGCGUUGAGCUAACCGGUACUAAUGAACCGUGAGGCUUAACCUUACAACGCCGAAG
rnacentral:rRNA from 1 species